rnacentral:rRNA from 1 species
CCUAACGGGGAGCUGCAGUGGGGAAUAUUGGGCAAUGGGCGCAAGCCUGACCCAGCAACGCCGCGUGAAGGAAGAAGGCUUUCGGGUUGUAAACUUCUUUUCUCAGGGACGAAGCAAGUGACGGUACCUGAGGAAUAAGCCACGGCUAACUACGUGCCAGCAGCCGCGGUAAUACGUAGGUGGCAAGCGUUAUCCGGAUUUACUGGGUGUAAAGGGCGUGUAGGCGGGGACGCAAGUCAGAUGUGAAAACCACGGGCUCAACCUGUGGCCUGCAUUUGAAACUGUGUUUGUUGAGUACUGGAGAGGCAGACGGAAUUCCUAGUGUAGCGGUGAAAUGCGUAGAUAUUAGGAGGAACACCAGUGGCGAAGGCGGCCUGCUGGACAGUAACUGACGUUGAGGCUCGAAAGCGUGGGGAGCAAACAGGAUUAGAUACCCCUGUAGUC